AGAGUUUGAUCCUGGCUCAGGAUGAACGCUGGCGGCGUGCCUAACACAUGCAAGUCGAACGAAGCACUGUAAACGGAGAUUCGUCGAAGUUUACUUUGACUUAGUGGCGGACGGGUGAGUAAUGUAUGAGCAACCUGCCUUUCAGUGGGGGACAACAGUUGGAAACGACUGCUAAUACCGCAUGAUGUCAUUUGGGGGCAUCCCCGAAUGACCAAAGGAUUUAUUCGCUGAAAGAUGGGCUCAUAUCUGAUUAGCUAGUUGGUGAGGUAACGGCUCACCAAGGCUGCGAUCAGUAGCCGGACUGAGAGGUUGAACGGCCACAUUGGGACUGAGAUACGGCCCAGACUCCUACGGGAGGCAGCAGUGGGGAAUAUUGGGCAAUGGGCGAAAGCCUGACCCAGCAACGCCGCGUGAAGGAAGAAGGUCUUCGGAUUGUAAACUUCUUUUAUGAGGGACGAAGGACGUGACGGUACCUCAUGAAUAAGCCACGGCUAACUACGUGCCAGCAGCCGCGGUAAUACGUAGGUGGCAAGCGUUAUCCGGAUUUACUGGGUGUAAAGGGCGCGUAGGCGGGGAUGCAAGUCAGAUGUGAAAUCUAUGGGCUUAACCCAUAAACUGCAUUUGAAACUGUAUCUCUUGAGUGCUGGAGAGGUAGACGGAAUUCCUUGUGUAGCGGUGAAAUGCGUAGAUAUAAGGAAGAACACCAGUGGCGAAGGCGGUCUACUGGACAGUAACUGACGCUGAGGCGCGAGAGCGUGGGGAGCAAACAGGAUUAGAUACCCUGGUAGUCCACGCUGUAAACAAUGAAUACUAGGUGUGGGGGGACUGACCCCUUCCGUGCCGCAGUU
rnacentral:rRNA from 1 species